GUCCUCUUCUAAUUGUGAAAGUGGUUGCAAGUGGUUAGUGACAAAAAAAAACUAAAAACUAAAAUGGCAUCUAAAAUUGUGUGUGAUCAGUGCUCAAAGUCCUUUGAAUUAACAGAAUGGUAUGCUCAUUAUGAGGAAUGCUCGGAUCGUAUAAAUGCUUUUGAAGUACUUAUGACCAAAGGGUCAAGCUAUCAAGAAGCAUCAACGUCAGGCGCAUCAAAACGUCCUAGAUUGGAGACUUCUCUGGAAAAAGCCAAUAUCACCUGUACAACUUGCGGCGAAAGGUACCUGCCGUUUAGGGAAAUGCGUCAUAUACUGUCAGAAAAACAUAAGAAUGCAACAGCAGCGUAACUCGAGGAUAAUCAAAAUGUUAUUGUAAUUUCAACAGAGUCGCGAUUUCCUUUAAAAUCAUAUCGUGUUCGCUCUGAUAAAAGUGACCGGCUCGCUUUAAAAUAAUUGUAUAAUGAUUGCAAAGCGGACUUAACCAAAUUAGUGCGUUACUGUAUGAGUGAGUACGGGUCGGUGAAGUUCAACUUAAAAGUAUAUGGACUGUAUGUCAAACAAACGGAUGAUGAAACCUUAACGGAAACCAUGAAGCAUUUCGUAACAUCAUAUAAGCCUAUAUAUGCAAAUGAGGAGAUUGAUGAACAUCUGAAUGAUGCCCUUGACCUUUUAGUCACUCUAAGUAGUGAAUUCAAGGAGAAGGAUUCAGGUUGGGCAAUAAAAAAAUUUGAAUAUUUUGAGCUGACAAUUAUUAAAUUGGAACAUAUCGCUGUAAAUAGAUUUAUACCAGCUCCCAAUAAAAAAAAAUCUCAAAAUGCAUUAAUAAAUGUUAAAAAUGAAGAUGAUUAUUGCUUCAAGUGGUAAAUUUUAGCAUCAUUGGCAUAUAGACGGUACUUGAGCACUACAUUCGCAACAGCAAACCAAAAAAAAAAAGCACGAGAUUACUUAACAAACCCUUCAUACUAUCGAAUGAUAGACAUCAGGCAAGACAUAAUUUGCUAUGAAGGAGUGAGACUGGAUUUAUAUGGUAUUGAGUUUCCAAUCACAAACAAAGGAAUAAAGAGAUUCGAAUCAUCCAAUGCUAGUAUUAGCAUAAAUGUGUAUGAAAUCGAUGACAAUGGAAAAAACGUUGUAGGACCAACAGUGAGGACUAAAGCAGUUCGAGGACAUCACAUCAACCUAUUAGGGAUUAAUAAUGACUCUUUGCAAAUGAUGCAUUAUGCCUAUAUAACGUGCAUGAAAAAAUUAUGUUAUUCUCAACAUAAUAAUUCCCAUUCCUCGGCAUAUUUUUGUGAAAAUUGUUCACAAUUUUAUACUACCACAAAUACCACCCAUGACAAUAAAGAGUGCGGAAAAGUUGCUGCCCAAUAUCCUACUCCAAAUACCAAAACGGUUUUUACAAGUUUCAUCAAAAAACUAUCUCCCCCUGUGGUCAUUUAUUCUGAUAUCGAGGCUGUAUUGGAAAGUUUUCAUAGAAAUCUGAAUGAUCCCUUAAAAUCAUCUACCACUAUGGCUCAGAACCAUACGGCAUGUGCAGUGUCAUUUUAUGUUGUACAUGAAUAUAAUCAUCAUUUAAAUGAGAUGUGGACAUAUGAAGGUAAAUAUUAUCACAAUCUAAAGGUUUUAAAACUGUUAAACAUUAAGAUUUACGCUAUUUCAGGACCAGAUUGUAUCGAUAAAUUUUGCCAAAUGCUUCGAUCGAAAACCAAGGGACUUUAUGAGAAGUACUGGAAUUCCGCUAAAAACCAAUCUACGAGUUCAACAUUUGGCAUGAGGACUAUCAGGAACAUGGAGAGUGCUAUGCCUGUGAUGAUCCCAUUUCGACUGACGACCGGGAGAAGUUUUUUAACCAAUUCACAGGUCAAUAUGUAGGUCCUAUUCAUAAGGUUUGUAAGCAAACAUUUAAACUAAGCGAUCCUUUUUUCCGGUAGUUUUUCAUAACUUGUCUCGUUAUGAUAUUAAUUUAUUUGUAACCACAAUAAAAGAUGAACUUAACCCCAUACCGUGUAACAAAGAGUUAUACAUUGCGCUAACUCAAAUUGUUCAGAUUGAUAUUUCAAAAGAACAGCAUUAUAAAAUAAGAUAUAUAGAUAUAAGAUAUAUAUCUAUUUGAAUAUAGAUUUUUAAAUUCGAGCUUAGAAAAACUUGCUAGUUAUAUGGAUCCAUCAGAUUUUAAAAUAUAAAAAAAAACAAGUAUCAAGGGGGAAAUUUUGAUAUGUUAAGGCGAAAAGGAGUAUUUCCAUACGAAUAUUUAGAUAGCUUUAACAAAUUUGACGAUCUCCAACUACCCUCGAGAGAAUUUUUUUCCAACUCACUGAGUGAUGAGGAGUGUAGUUUAGAAGACCAUAACUUUUCUCAGAAGGUUUGGAGAACAUUUAAUUGCAGCAGUAUUCGAGAUUAUUUGAAAUUAUACUUAUUAUACUUAUUAUUAUAUAUUAUUUGAACACUUUAGGAGUAUUUGCUCACGAAUAUAUAAGUUAGACCCAAUAAAUUAUGUUACUGCUCCUUCUGUUUCAUGGGAUGCAAUGCUUAAAUAUACAACGAUAGAAUUGGAGCUAGUUAGUGAUCCGGAUAUAUAUAACUUUUUAAAAACUUCAGUACGCGGAGGGUUAACUCAAUGCACUCAACGGAUAGCUACUGCAAAUAAUAAAUAUUUAAAUGAAAGAUUCAGGGCCAGAGAUCCUAUAAACUAUCUAGCGUACAUUGAUGCUAACAAUUUAUAUUGUUGUGCAAUGAGCCAGCCAAUUCCAUAUUCCAAUUUCAAAUUUCUAAGUAACGGUGAAAUUCAAUCUUUCAGCACUCUAAGUAUGCCUGCUUGCAGGGAUGUAGGAUACAUCUUAGAAGUAGAUCUGAAAUAUCCUGAUGCUAUGCACAAUAAACAUAAUAGUUUUGCCCCGAAAAUAAGAUUCCUCCAGGCGGAAAACAAUGAAAAUUGAUAGGUGACUUAUCUGAUAAAAAGAAUUAUAUAAUACAUUUGAAACAGUUGCAGUUAUGCAUAGAACAAUGUAUGAUUUUACAAAAAAUAUCGCGAGUUUUAUUAUCCUUUAAGCAAUCCUGUUGGCUUAAACCCUAUAUUUAUCUAAAUACAUCCCAUAGAAAAUUAGCUAAGAAUGAGUUUGAGAUAAACUUUUAUAAAUUAAUGGUUAAUGCUGUCUACGGUAAAACGAUGGAGAAUGUAGAAAAGCGACGUUAGGUCGCAUUCGCAAUUAAACACUAUAAUUCAAGACAAAAUUCCGCAGGGUUUAGACAACGCAUAGCUAGACAUAAUUUUCACAGUGUUGAAAUCUUUGGUGAAAAUUUAGCUGCCAUUGAGUCCACUAAAUCAAGAAUUUUGUAUGAUAAACCCAUAUACAUUGGAGUUCGUGUACUAGAACUUUCAAAAUGGUUAAUGUAUGACUAUUUCUAUAAUUUUCAUUCUCUAAAAUGCCCAUCAUCAAAAAUACUCUACAUGGAUACAGAUUCAUUUAUUAUAUCAUCAAAAGAAGAUUUUUAUGGGUUAAUUAAAGACAAUCCUAGUCGAUUUGAUACCUCAAAUUACCAAGAGUCAAACAUUUCGGGAUAAAUCGGGGCAAUAACAAAGAACUAGGUUUCAUGAAAGACGAAAGUGCGGGUCGUAUAAUGACCUCAUUUGCAGAGUUAGAAGCGAGAGCAUACUCUUAUUUAGUUGCCAAAGAUAAUAGCCCUGACCAGAACGUCAAAAAGAUUAAAGGAGUAAAAAAGUCGGUAGUUAAACGAUUAUUACAUGCUCAGUAUAUUGAAUGCAUUAAACAUAAAAAAAACAUAUUAUGUACAGCAGAGAGUAAUCAGAAGUAGAGGUCAUAAAAUUUAUACUGAAAUUGCAAAUAAGAUAAGUCUAAAUUAUAAGGAUGACAAAAGAUUUAUAUUAUCCGAUAAUUUUUCAACGAUAAUAUUUAAUCUCUUUGAAAUUGUAAAUAUUAUAGAUCCUAAUAAUAGUAAAAGCAUUUAUUAUAGAAAAAUUUAAAUUAUAAAUAUUUAAAAUUAUUAUGUAAUUUAAACUAUUUUAAAU
rnacentral:lncRNA from 1 species